UCCUGAGUAGAGUGGCGCACGGGUGAGUAACACGUAGAUAAUCUACCUUCAAGCCUGGGAUAACUAUUCGAAAGGAUGGCUAAUACCGGAUGAAGUGCAUUGACAUAAGUUGAUGUAUGAAAGAUUGCCUCUUCUUGAAAGCAAUUGUUUGGAGAUGAGUCUGCGGACCAUUAGUUUGUUGGUGGGGUAAAGGCCUACCAAGACUACGAUGGUUAGCUGGUCUGAGAGGAUGAUCAGCCACACUGGAACUGGAACACGGUCCAGACUCCUACGGGAGGCAGCAGUGAGGAAUUUUGCGCAAUGGGGGAAACCCUGACGCAGCAACGCCGCGUGAGUGAAGAAGGCCCUUGGGUCGUAAAGCUCUGUCGACAGGGAAGAAAUUGAUUCAUAUUAAUAGUAUGUUUCAUUGACGGUACCUGUAGAGGAAGCACCGGCUAACUCCGUGCCAGCAGCCGCGGUAAUACGGGGGGUGCAAGCGUUAUUCGGAAUUAUUGGGCGUAAAGGGCGCGUAGGCGGUCUUGUCGGUCAGAUGUGAAAGCCCGGGGCUCAACCCUGGAAGUGCAUUUGAAACAGCAAGACUUGAAUACUGGAGAGGAGAGCGGAAUUCCUGGUGUAGAGGUGAAAUUCGUAGAUAUCAGGAGGAACACCGAUGGCGAAGGCAGCUCUCUGGACAGAUAUUGACGCUGAGGCGCGAAGGUGUGGGUAGCGAACGGGAUUAGAUACCCCGGUAGUCCACACAGUAAACGUUGUUCACUCGGUGUACCGGAUAUUAAAAUCUGGUGUGCCCAAGCUAACGUGGUAAGUGAACCGCCUGGGGAGUACGGUCGCAAGACUAAAACUCAAAGGAAUUGACGGGGGCCCGCACAAGCGGUGGAGCAUGUGGUUUAAUUCGACGCAACGCG
rnacentral:rRNA from 1 species